rnacentral:rRNA from 1 species
AAAUUGAAGAGUUUGAUCAUGGCUCAGAUUGAACGCUGGCGGCAGGCCUAACACAUGCAAGUCGAGCGGUAGCACAGAGAGCUUGCUCUCGGGUGACGAGCGGCGGACGGGUGAGUAAUGUCUGGGAAACUGCCUGAUGGAGGGGGAUAACUACUGGAAACGGUAGCUAAUACCGCAUAACGUCGCAAGACCAAAGUGGGGGACCUUCGGGCCUCAUGCCAUCAGAUGUGCCCAGAUGGGAUUAGCUAGUAGGUGGGGUAACGGCUCACCUAGGCGACGAUCCCUAGCUGGUCUGAGAGGAUGACCAGCCACACUGGAACUGAGACACGGUCCAGACUCCUACGGGAGGCAGCAGUGGGGAAUAUUGCACAAUGGGCGCAAGCCUGAUGCAGCCAUGCCGCGUGUGUGAAGAAGGCCUUCGGGUUGUAAAGCACUUUCAGCGGGGAGGAAGGCGGUGAGGUUAAUAACCUCANAGAAGGCCUUCGGGUUGUAAAGCACUUUCAGCGGGGAGGAAGGCGUUAAGGUUAAUAACCUUGGCGAUUGACGUUACCCGCAGAAGAAGCACCGGCUAACUCCGUGCCAGCAGCCGCGGUAAUACGGAGGGUGCAAGCGUUAAUCGGAAUUACUGGGCGUAAAGCGCACGCAGGCGGUCUGUCAAGUCGGAUGUGAAAUCCCCGGGCUCAACCUGGGAACUGCAUUCGAAACUGGCAGGCUAGAGUCUUGUAUAGGGGGGUAGAAUUCAAGGAGUAGCGGUGUAAUGCGUAGAGAUCUGGAGGAAUCCCGGUGGCGAAGGCGGCCCCCUGGACAAAGACUGACGCUCAGGUGCGAAAGCGUGGGGAGCAAACAGGAUUAGAUACCCUGGUAGUCCACGCCGUAAACGAUGUCGAUUUGGAGGUUGUGCCCUUGAGGCGUGGCUUCCGGAGCUAACGCGUUAAAUCGACCGCCUGGGGAGUACGGCCGCAAGGUUAAAACUCAAAUGAAUUGACGGGGGCCCGCACAAGCGGUGGAGCAUGUGGUUUAAUUCGAUGCAACGCGAAGAACCUUACCUGGUCUUGACAUCCACAGAACUUUCCAGAGAUGGAUUGGUGCCUUCGGGAACUGUGAGACAGGUGCUGCAUGGCUGUCGUCAGCUCGUGUUGUGAAAUGUUGGGUUAAGUCCCGCAACGAGCGCAACCCUUAUCCUUUGUUGCCAGCGGUUCGGCCGGGAACUCAAAGGAGACUGCCAGUGAUAAACUGGAGGAAGGUGGGGAUGACGUCAAGUCAUCUUGGCCCUUACGACCAGGGCUACACACGUGCUAAAUUGGAAUAUACAAAGAGAAGCGACCUCGCGAGAGCAAGCGGAACUCAUAAAGUAUGUCGUAGUCAGGAUUGGAGUCUGCAACUCGAUUCCAUGAAGUCGGAAUCGCUAGUAAUCGUAGAUCAUAAUGCUACGGUGAAUACGUUCCCGGGCCUUGUACCCACCGCCCGUCACACCAUGGGAGUGGGUUGCAAAAGAAGUAGGUAGCUUAACCUUCGGGAGGGCGCUUACCACUUUGUGAUUCAUGACUGGGGUGAAGUCGUAACAAGGUAACCGUAGGGGAACCUGCGGUUGGAUCACCUCCUUA